rnacentral:rRNA from 1 species
UACGUAGGGGGCAAGCGUUGUCCGGAUUUAUUGGGCGUAAAGAGCGUGUAGGCGGCUUUACAGGUCCGUUGUGAAAACUCGAGGCUCAACCUCGAGACGCCGGUGGAAACCGUAAAGCUAGAGUCCGGAAGAGGAGAGUGGAAUUCCUGGUGUAGCGGUGAAAUGCGCAGAUAUCAGGAGGAACACCAGCGGCGAAGGCGGCGCUCUGGGCCGGUACUGACACUGAGGAGCGAAAGCGUGGGUAGCAAACAGG